AACGAACGCUGGCGGCAGGCUUAACACAUGCAAGUCGAGGGGUAUAUGCCUUCGGGCAUAGAGACCGGCGCACGGGUGCGUAACUCGUAUGCAAUCUGCCUUCCACAAAGGAAUAGCCCAGAGAAAUUUGGAUUAAUGCCUUAUAGCAUCACGAGAUGGCAUCAUCAUGUGAUUAAAGAUUUAUCGGUGGAAGAUGAGCAUGCGUCCCAUUAGCUAGUUGGAGUGGUAACGGCACACCAAGGCGAUGAUGGGUAGGGGUCCUGAGAGGGAGAUCCCCCACACUGGUACUGAGACACGGACCAGACUCCUACGGGAGGCAGCAGUGAGGAAUAUUGGUCAAUGGGCGCAAGCCUGAACCAGCCAUGCCGCGUGCAGGAUGAAGCAUCUAUGGUGUGUAAACUGCUUUUAUACAGGAAGAAACACUCCCUCGUGAGGGAGCUUGACGGUACUGUAGGAAUAAGGAUCGGCUAACUCCGUGCCAGCCGCCGCGGUAA
rnacentral:rRNA from 1 species